UAUGAUCCAGAGUACCACGGGACACGUGAAACCCUGUGGGAAGCAGGAGGGACCACCCUCCAAGGCUAAAUACUACCUAGUGACCGAUAGCGUAUAGUACCGCGAGGGAAAGGUGAAAAGAACCCCGUGAGGGAAGUGAAAUAGAACCGGAAACCCUGCACUUACAAGCUGUGGAAGCACAUUUCUUGUGUGACCGCGUACUUUUUGUAGAACGGGCCAACGAGUUACGU
rnacentral:rRNA from 1 species